AGGAGUAUACUUCUGCAGUGAAAUGGGAAAAUGGAAUACUCAUGUAUUUUGGGGGGUUGGGAUGAAUCCAUGGAGAAUAUAUAAAAAGAAGAAAGAUUUCAGAAGAAAGAGAGCUUUAGAUGCUUUGAAAAAAAAUGGGAAUGAAUGUGAGACUGGAGAAAAGUGGGAUCUCUGAGACCGACCCUUUCUCUUUCCUACUAGCUGGGCUGAUCGUCUAGCAUGCCACCAGGUCGCAGUGCUUGAGAAUGAACAGGGACACCAUUAUUAUUAUGCAGGAGUGAUAUGAACACUUGAUCUCUCCAAGCAAAUCAGGGUAUAUAUCCCCUGUCCAUAAUUAUGCAGUGGAACCUUCACUUAACCAAUGGCCCAGGAAGUGAGAGAGCAGUCAGCUCCUGCAGUGGCUUCACAGCUCUGUGAGGUGUCACAGGGGAGGGAACCAAGCCUAGAGAGAGAGCAGAGCUUGCUGAAUCUCGAGGUCACCAAGACUUUGGGCUUCAGUCAGAGCUUGGAUUGUUCAUAGCUGGAAAUGAGGAAGAGAGGCUAUUCUCAUAACACCAGGAAACGAGAAAUGAAGAAAGAGAUAAAGGCUACCAGGAGAAGGCCAGUCUACCUAGCCUUUCUGUGACUCUUCUCAUCCUUGAAGAGAACCUCACAUUUUAAAGACUGUCUCAUAUUUUCAUCUUAUUUUGAGCCAUACCAAAGAUGGAUGGCUAGAGAUCAUUGCUUCCUUUUGACAUAUGAAGAAAUGGAGUCCCAGGGAGUUGAAUUGACUUACUCAAGGGGGUAGGAGGAAGGCGAGCUAGCAACAGACUUAGGACUCCGAUCUAAGAUGCUAAUUUCUAGUCCAGUGUUCUUGUCUUUAUGCUACAUCACUGGAAGAAUUCCUAGUGCUAGAUUCUGUAAUUCUCAAGGCCUUUAAACACAUAGGCAGACUCUAUCUGCUUUUCCACCAGGAGUCUUUGCACUUGCUGUUUAAAUAUGGGAGGCUCUUUGCUUCCUUCUUGGGAGUCAUAAACAAGCAUCCCUUCACUCUGGAUAGAUGCUGAUGAUGAACCAAAGAAAUGAUCUCACCCACAUCUAGCUUAUAGCUACAAGUGUGUAUGAUCUGUAAGU